AACGAACGCUGGCGGCAUGCCUAACACAUGCAAGUCGAAUGAGACCUUCGGGUCUAGUGGCGCACGGGUGCGUAACGCGUGGGAACCUGCCCUUAGGUUCGGAAUAACUCCCCGAAAGGGGUGCUAAUACCGGAUAAUGUCUUCGGACCAAAGAUUUAUCGCCUUUGGAUGAGCCCGCGUUGGAUUAGCUAGUUGGUAGGGUAAAAGCCUACCAAGGCGACGAUCCAUAGCUGGUCUGAGAGGAUGAUCAGCCACACUGGGACUGAGACACGGCCCAGACUCCUACGGGAGGCAGCAGUGGGGAAUAUUGGACAAUGGGCGAAAGCCUGAUCCAGCAAUGCCGCGUGAGUGAUGAAGGCCUUAGGGUUGUAAAGCUCUUUUACCCGGGAUGAUAAUGACAGUACCGGGAGAAUAAGCUCCGGCUAACUCCGUG
rnacentral:rRNA from 1 species